UACGGGGGGGGCAAGCGUUGUUCGGAAUUACUGGGCGUAAGGGCGCGUAGGCGGCCUGCUAAGUCACACGUGAAAUCCCUCGGCUCAACCGGGGAACUGCGUGUGAUACUGGCGGGCUUGAAUUCGGGAGAGGGAUGUGGAAUUCCAGGUGUAGCGGUGAAAUGCGUAGAUAUCAGGAGGAACACCGAUGGCGAAGGCAGGUCUCUGGGCUGACACUGACGCUCAUGCACGAAAGCGUGGGGAGCAAACAGG
rnacentral:rRNA from 1 species